UACAGAGGGCGCGAGCGUUGUCCGGAAUCACUGGGCGUAAAGGGCGCGUAGGUGGCCACUAUAAGGCCGCGGUGAAAGUUCGGGGCUCAACCCUGAAUCUGCCGCGGCGACUGUAGGGCUAGGGCACCGUAGAGGCAGAUGGAAUUCCGGGUGUAGCGGUGGAAUGCGUAGAGAUCCGGAGGAACACCGGUGGCGAAGGCGGGUCUCUGGGCCGAUACUGACGCUGAGGAGCGAAAGCGUGGGGAGCGAACAGG
rnacentral:rRNA from 1 species